AUAAUGAAAGGGUUUAAAUCUAGCAUUUCUAUCCAUUUACCGGUUCUUUGUCUAAAAGUUCCCUCUUCAUCUUCGUCUUCUGUUGUCGCUCCACCUAUUCCUCUAUCUGCCCAAAUAGUCGUCGUUGGGGUUAAUCACUAGUUUUUGGUCGUGUGUUGCCUGCAACCCUUUCCAUUUCUCUGCAAUUGGCUUUUUAUCCAGUUAGAAUUUCACUCGAUUGGAUUAUUCUUUAUUUUUUUCUUGAUUCACUUCGAUCUAUUUCAUCUAUUGUUUAUAACUCUUAACAUUUUUUUGGAAUUAAAAAGAAUGGUCUCUUUUUGUACAAGAACUAUUUCUAUUUUUAGCAUCUUGACAUCCCUAGAUUUUGAUAUCUCAGUUGUUUAUCAAUCGCAGGGAGCUUGUGCCUUGUAGGAGUAGAGAAGUUCCGCAAGCUGGUUGCCUCUUCCGACAUGCCUGCUCUCCCUGGUACUUCAUUUCCUUUGUGCGUGUCAUAUGGAAAUGUUUGACAUUUGUGGAACUAUUAUUUGGAUUUUCAUUUUGUGUUAGAGGAAAUAUCUAAUGGGCCAUCGAUUUUAGUGUUGAAAUUUGAAGUUUUUGGAUACUGGAAAUGUCUGAUUUUGGCUGGGUUAGUGAUGUUGGAUAUACAUUCUUUUUGUUUAUUUUGGUAAAUGGAAUUACAGUUCAGUUGAAAUGUGAAGUUUAAAAUAAGACAAUGAAUUCGAGUUUAAGACGUUUAUUAAUUUGGUACUUACAAAUACAGAAAGUUUUGAAAUAGUUGGGAGUAAUUGAUUUGGAUUUUAAUUUUUGUUCGUUUAGAUUUCAGUGUCUAUUUGUCCAGUAGAAUUCAAAGCUCUAUUAUUUAAGUCAGACUUAGCUUUACUACAGUGAUUGUGUUACUAGGAAUAUGUGAAGCUUUAUUUAGGAUUCAAAAUUGUACUCUGAUUUUCCAAACGUGGUGACAGAUUGAUGGGGUUUAGCUAUUGAGGAACUUCUCUAUUUAUAUACUUCUAUAAGAAAAAUCCUUCUUUAGAACUAAAUGAUUGCUAACAAUGCUAGUAAUAUUUUUUGUACAUGUAACACCACACGCUUCAUUCUCGUAAUUAUUAUGUCCGAAUAGAUUAUGUAUUUGUAAUGCCGCAUAAUUUACAUGAUAGAUGUUUAUGCUUCCUUAAUGUUUAUUUAAUGUGUACUUAAUAAGUUUAUUGUUAUUGUGAUUAAUUUUUUCUUGCAAUGGAAUGAACAUUGCAUGCUCUAAAAGAUUAACAUGCCAAUUAAUUUAAUUAUGGUGGGUCUAUAAUUGAAUAAUAUAAUAUAUUUAAUUUGAGAUUUGCUUGGUGUACAUAAUUUUUCAUACAUCAAGGUGUCCCACACUCACAUGGGGUGGAACCCGCUUGAAUAUCUUUUUCGAGUAGACACCAUUCCAUGUGAGUGUAUGGAUACCUUAAUAUACAAAAAAUUAUGUACAACUAGUGUUAUCCAUUUAAUUUACUAUGUGUUCACGAAUAAUUUAACUCCGGGUUGAACUUAGAUAAUGAGUUAGAAUAUUAUGCAUUGACUUAAUAAGCGAAGAUUUUUCUAUAAUUUAAUAUGGAAAUAAUAUGUAAACGUCAUAAUGGGAUCUUAGUUUGUACAACCUAUUUAAAAGAUUAAAUAAGUCAAUAGGAUUAAUAUGAGAUCUCAUUAUAUAUAUAUAUAGUUUUGUGUGUAUUUAUAUAUCUAUUCAUUGCUCACAUUCAUUAUUUGUAUAUUGUUUAUGAAAUGUUCUUUGUCGUUUUGUGAAAUUUUUAAGUUUUAUGUUUGUGAAAUAUUUGAGUUUGUUGUUUAGAUAAGGAGCCCAUCUUUUGUUACAAGUGACUAAGUGUUCCAUAUUCAAUAGGUAUACGUUCAUGUAUAUCUGCACAUAAAUACAUAUAAUCUCUGUAUUUAAAUACAUUAUACUGAUUUCUUUGGAUUUUCUUACAUGGUGCUAGUUCUACUUUUAGAUUAUUUAUUCAAUUGAAGGGGACUCCGUCACGUUAAGAAAAGUAUGAUUUCAUUUUAUUCUCCCUUUUUAUUUCAUUGUUUCCCGGAUCCAUUUUAUGGUUUUUGAUUUGAAUAUCAACGUGUGUUCUUUGUUUUUUUGCUUUCGUGAGCAUUCAUGAUGAUGUAUUAUGUCUUUCUGAUUUCAUAUACUUAUUAGGUUAUUCUAUUUACUUAAUAGAUUCUUAUAUUAUUUGUCAUGUUUGUUUCUUGUUAUUCAUAGAUAAGUUCCUCACACCGAUACAAAUUCCGAAGGAAGAGCACGUUCUGACCCAUAUUUUACAGGUUAGCAACACCAAAUAUGUAUUAGUUGUCCUCGACAAAUUCGAUGCACAACAGAAGACUAUGUUCGAGGAAAGUUGUUUAGGACAUGUCGUGAAGUUGCUCAAGCUCAAAUUAUCUGCAUAAUUAGUUCAUGAAAUGGUUAAUAGAUGAGUGAUUUGCUGAAAACGUUUUGAGGCUUGGUUCAAGGUCAAUCAAUGGUUUACAAGAUUUGGAAUGUCGGAGUUCUCACUGAUCACGGGCUUAAAUUGUGGAGAAUUGCCUAAAAGGUUGGCUUUCGACAACAUUCUAGAGAAAACUAGGCUACGAGACAAAAUGUUUAUUUAUGGAGAUUGGAUAACUUUUAGCGAUUUGUAGAAGGUUUUCUUGAAAUGUGCUAACCGUAACGAUCGUUACAAACUUGGUUUGGUAUAUAAUUAUUGAAGGGGUUUUAAUUCGAGAUACCUAAAUGUGGGGAUUCAUCCUAAACUCUCGUCAUUAUGGACGACUUAGAUUUCUUCAUUGCUUACCCAUGGAGGACAGUAUGUUUUAAACUUCUUAUCAAAUUAGUGCUCCGUGGAUGAAGGAGAAAUGUGGACUUGGCAAAGGUCAACGAUUAUGACAGGAUGUCUUACACGUACGGAUUCCUUCUUGCUAUUCAGUAUGUCUGUUUAUUUCAUUCAUAUUCAUUGUACAUUGUUAUUUAUGUCCGUAUGUGGUAAUCACUGUUAUACAUGUGCUGCAAUUGUGGGUGUACGAGGCAAUCCCAAAGUUGGGAGCUCGAUUUGUGAGCAAGAUUAGUGACGACCUUUCGAGGAUGUUGCGGUGGUCACCACCAGAUAGCCUCAAUCGAGAACAUAUUUAAAUUUCUUCGACAAGACACACAUGAGCAUUUAUAUAUACAACUGCCCUUACACUAGUAGCAUAUAUCACAAUUUUAUUUGACAAGACACUUUUCCUCCCUUUGUGGUUGCACUUGUGGACACUAUCUCUGAAGAAGAAUAGCAGCCAUACUUUGCUACUUUACUUCCAUUAGAUGAUGUUACUGACCAAUUUUUGACAAUCUCGUCAUUCAAUCAACUGAAAUACAAGAUUACCUGUCAAAAGGCAAAGUGAUACGCAAUGACGAGAAAAACAACCGAUGCAACAGAUUCAGGAGAGGUAACACAAGUGGGAUUCGUCUUCGAGAUUUCAGUGACGAUAAAGGGGGAGAAAAAGAGCAUUGUGAUCCAGUCCAGGACUUUCCAUCCAUUUUUGGCUUGGAAAAUCAUCUAAUAGCAAGCCAUGUGUAUACGGAUGAGAUAAAAGGCAUGUUGAUUUAACAUAGAGAGUUCAUUGGGAUUACGCUGUGUAAAUUGAGGGACAAAAUGAACGCAAGGUUCAAUGGUCUUGAAAAGAAAAUGGGGGAUCAUGUGCACAAGAUGAAUGAGCAUUGACUGAUUAGAUAAGUGUGAUCAAAUGAAAGUUUGAGGAUGUAGUUACAGAAAUUGGGAGAGAAAAUGUGCGUGAUGAGUAUGGUGCAUUUGGUUAUGGUGAUGGUGAUGGAGAUAUGCACAAACGUGAUUACUAUGAUGAUUUCUCGUUGCCCAACACUACAAUUGACGAACAACAUGUCGAGGCAACAAGAGUACAUGCUAGCAAUGUUAAGGCAACCAAACUAGAUGUUGGCUACGUCAAGGCAACCGAAGCAAAUGCUGUAAGCAUCGAGGCAACCAAACUAGAUGCUCGCAACGUCGAUGAGUUGUCCAAAAAGUGCUUAGAUAUGGUUGCCACCAAUGCUAUACUGCCAUCUUGAGCUUGAUCCCUCAGGGUAAAGCUGUCAAAUGCUAGCACUCAGACUCCUUUUAUACGGUUCGAUUGUAGAAAGGGUAAGAGAGGUGUGUAGUUAGUUUACAAUGUUGGUGGAGUAUGGCAUUGUAUGUUUUGGAAAAUAUUUAUAACCUCAUUUUGUGUGCCAUCAUUAGGCAAAUUUUUUGGUUGAUGGUACAAUUCUCAUUGUUGAUGUAGAAUUGAAAUGGGUACAAGAGUAUUUUAUUUCAGUAAGUACAUGUUGUUUAGGACUUAUAUUGUGCACACAUUUGAAAUGUCAGUUUACGAGAAUAACAUGUAUUUUAUGUCGAGAACAACACUUUAAAUGUCGAGACAUGUCUGGAAUGUAUAAAACUCUAGGAAAUAGAAUGAAAUCUUGUUAGAUACAUGAACUAUUAAAUGUUGAGAUAAAUUGGGUCCAAAUGUCGAUAACGACUUUUCAAAUGAAGAAAACUUGAUGAAAUGUUAAGAAAUAUAUGAACUGUCGAGUGUCAAGAUAAACAAGGUCAAAUUGUUGAUAAUAACAUUCCAAAUGACGAAAACAUGGUGAAAUGUUAAGAACAAAUUUGAACUGUUCGGUGGACUGGCAAGAUGACAACGAGAUUUCCCAAUAUGAUUUUAACAAAAUGUGUGUUAUAAAUUCAUGCUGGUAAUAGAUACAAUUUCACUAUUUACACAACAAGCACAAAAUCUACAACCUAUAUCGUUAAAAUCAAUUGUAAAUACAUGGAAUAGGAGUUGGUGUGUACUCUUCUAAUGUAAGUACACCUCAUUAACCAUGCUUUACACCUCUACAUAAGCAUG
rnacentral:lncRNA from 1 species